CCCAAACAUGCUGUUUCAAAACGUAAGUCCAUGAAGAGUCUCGUGGUGAGAAAGACAGAAUUCCUAGCCAGGAAAAUGCCCCGUGCUUGCCCCUUGGAGGCAGGUGCUCACCACGGCAGGGUCUAUCUAGGUGUUUAUUAAGGUGUCUCACCACGUAUCGCCCGGAUUCACCAGAGAUGCAGAGGCGGAGGAUACGUUCCUGUUUACAUUGAUACAUAGUUACAUAGGUGAAGAGCUUUACAGUGAGGAAGCGGCUCACGCGGCCAUGAGGGACCCAGGCAGGAGCUGCUGUUGCUGCCCCAGCAGCAACUCCACGAGUGCUCGAUGGGAAACUGCAGACAGCAGCCUUGCCAAGCGGAUGCCCAGGGCCGACCACCGCAGCCCCUCCAGCCACGUUCUCCAUCAGGGCAGCCUCCUGCUGGCUUCGGCACUGCAGGUAGCACACCAGCGAGGGGUGGGCCUGUGUGCCACGAAGCGUCAUCCAUGGACGUGCCACGAAGGGUUAUUCUUCUUUUGACUUUUUCUGAUGGUUUAAAACUGUAAGAACACACAGCUCACAGUCCACACGGAAGCAGGCAUGUGGCUCCUGCCUCACUGUGGGAGGAAAGAUGUUCUCAAAAGAAAUGGCUGGGUUUGCGGAGGGGUUUGUGGAGGGCCGGGCAGUCUGAACACAGCCCAGCUGGCCUUGGUGGAGGUGGGCCUGGCACAGGGGGGUGGGAGCAGUUCUUCCUGACGCAAAUCCUAACGCCUUCAACACUGACCUUCCAAAGAAACAGCUGCUGGACGCCGCCCGACAGCAACGAGAGCCCCACUCCUGAGGCGCGCGACUCUCGAGGGCUUUGUUGUUUAUUUGGCACCCGAGGCCCAGGCUCACAGGGUCUCGGGUGCAUGGGACCCCCCAGCCCUUCCCACUGCUCUGCGAUUCUUCCUCCCUUCUGGAAAGGUCAGUUUGGGGUUCUAUUCUGGGAGGGGCCAGGCCGCCACCUGGCCUCAUUAACUGGGCAGGCCACUGGGACCUCCUCCGAAAUGCUGGGGCCAUGGCCGAAGACUUGCCUCCCGCCAGGAGCCUUCAGCCCUCUUAGUAGUGGAUGUGGGCUUCCUCCCUCUGAGGGGACGUCCUGAUGGACACGAGAUGUGGGGCGCCCGUGGGUGGCCGCCUGCUCC
rnacentral:lncRNA from 1 species